ACCACUGCUCUAGAGAAUGAAGUUCUCUAAGCACAGCACAAUGCAAACUGCCCUUACGCUGCCCUACCAAUGUGUCUCAACCCUGACCUAGAGGGACUGCCUCUACAGAUGGAAGUUUCCACUCCAUUUUCAUGGCCCGUUUGGUCUUUGGUGCCU
rnacentral:sRNA from 1 species